rnacentral:rRNA from 1 species
UACAGAGGGUGCGAGCGUUGUUCGGAAUUAUUGGGCGUAAAGGGCGCGUAGGCGGUGCGGUAAGUCACCUGUGAAAUCUCCUGGCUCAACUGGGAGCUUGCAGGCGAAACUGCCGUGCUGGAGUGUGGGAGAGGUGCGUGGAAUUCCUGGUGUAGCGGUGAAAUGCGUAGAGAUCCGGAGGAACCCCAGAGGCGAAGGCGGCGUCCUGGCUCACAACUGACGCUCAGACACGACAGCAUGGGGAGCGAACGGG